UCUUGAUUUUUAGACGCAGGCCCACCUAAAAGGGGAGACUGAGAAAAGCUGAGGGUGUGGCAUAUGUUUGUAAAAAAUCAACUUUCCUUCUAAACUGACUCAGUAAGAACUGGGUGUCAAGGAACAUCAAAGCUUCAGAGGGCACAGAAAGAGUCCUCAGUGGUGGAUCCUGGUUUUGUUGUUUCCUCCAGAGCAGUUUACAUGUUCAGUGACAUUUGUUAAUAUGAUAGCAAAUCUGUAAAGCCACUAGAACCAAACAAAGGUCACUUCAAAGUACCCAGCUUACGAAGAAUGGAGCAGCCAUAUCCCUAGGAAAUUAUCAAAGCCAAGC